GAGUUUGAUCCUGGCUCAGAUUGAACGCUGGCGGCAGGCUUAACACAUGCAAGUCGAACGGUAACAGGAAGAAGCUUGCUUCUUUGCUGACGAGUGGCGGACGGGUGAGUAAUGCUUGGGAAUCUGGCUCAUGGAGGGGGAUAACUACGGGAAACUGUAGCUAAUACCGCGUAGUAUCGGAAGAUGAAAGUGUGGGACCGCAAGGCCACAUGCCAUGAGAUGAGCCCAAGUGGGAUUAGGUAGUUGGUUAGGUAAAGGCUGACCAAGCCGACGAUCUCUAGCUGGUCUGAGAGGAUGACCAGCCACACUGAAACUGAGACACGGUCCAGACUCCUACGGGAGGCAGCAGUGGGGAAUAUUGCACAAUGGGGGAAACCCUGAUGCAGCCAUGCCGCGUGAAUGAAGAAGGCCUUCGGGUUGUAAAGUUCUUUCGGUGAUGAGGAAGGUGUUUGUUUUAAUAGAACAAGCAAUUGACGUUAGUCACAGAAGAAGCACCGGCUAACUCCGUGCCAGCAGCCGCGGUAAUACGGAGGGUGCGAGCGUUAAUCGGAAUAACUGGGCGUAAAGGGCACGCAGGCGGUGACUUAAGUGAGAUGUGAAAGCCCCGAGCUUAACUUGGGAAUUGCAUUUCAUACUGGGUCGCUAGAGUACUUUAGGGAGGGGUAGAAUUCCACGUGUAGCGGUGAAAUGCGUAGA
rnacentral:rRNA from 1 species